AUUGAACGCUGGCGGCAGGCCUAACACAUGCAAGUCGAGCGGAUGAGUGGAGCUUGCUCCAUGAUUCAGCGGCGGACGGGUGAGUAAUGCCUAGGAAUCUGCCUGGUAGUGGGGGACAACGUUUCGAACGGAACGCUAAUACCGCAUACGUCCUACGGGAGAAAGCAGGGGACCUUCGGGCCUUGCGCUAGCAGAUGAGCCUAGGUCGGAUUAGCUAGUAGGUGAGGUAAUGGCUCACCUAGGCGACGAUCCGUAACUGGUCUGAGAGGAUGAUCAGUCACACUGGAACUGAGACACGGUCCAGACUCCUACGGGAGGCAGCAGUGGGGAAUAUUGGACAAUGGGCGAAAGCCUGAUCCAGCCAUGCCGCGUGUGUGAGGAAGGUCUUCGGAUUGUAAAGCACUUUAAGUUGGGAGGAAGGGCAGUAAGCUAAUACCUUGCUGUUUUGACGUUACCGACAGAAUAAGCCCCGGCUAACUCCGUGCCAGCCGCCGCAGUAAUAC
rnacentral:rRNA from 1 species